rnacentral:rRNA from 1 species
UCGCUAGUAAUCGCGCAUCAGCCAUGGCGCGGUGAAUACGUUCCCGGGCCUUGUACACACCGCCCGUCAAGCCAUGGGAGCCGGGGGCGCCUGAAGUCCGGGACCGCGAGGACCGGCCUAGGGCGAAACUGGUAACUGGGGCUAAGUCGUAACAAGGUAGC